rnacentral:rRNA from 1 species
UACGUAGGCGGAAAAUUAAGUCAGUAGUGAAAUCCCGCAGCUUAACUGUAGAACUGUUAUUGAUACUGGUUUUCUUGAAUGUAGUUGAGGUAGGCGGAAUGUGUAAUGUAGCGGUGAAAUGCUUAGAUAUUACACAGAACACCGAUUGCGAAGGCAGCUUACUAAGCUAUGAUUGACGCUGAGGUACGAAAGCGUGGGGAGCGAACAGGAUUAGAUACCCUGGUAGUCC